rnacentral:lncRNA from 1 species
AAACAUAAGGUACUGAAUUCUUUUACAUAGACUGAUAUGACUCAAAAAUACAAUGGUCAAUGAGAGGACAAAAAAGGCACAGGAUUUUCUUUUGUACAUCAAUGCCAACUAAAAAUAAUAAGAAUUGUAAUUAAAGAAAAACGACCAAAAAAACUGUUAAGAGCAUUUGUCUUGCACUCUGACUCAAUGUUUUGCUGGCACAUUUCCUCAUGAACAAAUUUGCUUUACUAACCCUCCUAUAAAACUUUCAGCUGGAUGUCGGUGCCACCGAACUACCCGCUCAAUUGUAGGCUCAACUCCAACCAGCUCCAUUCUAGGAAUAGAUGGAUUUGUAGUUUUCGACUCCUACUUCAAAAAAGUUUGUUGGGCCUCUACUUUGAGUGAGAACCAUACAGUCAUACUGCAAACACAUAAAAAGUAACGGUUGAAGUAAUGCAGAAUAAUAUUCUCAAGUUUAAUAUACACAGGAAAAUGAAAAUAUCAUUAUAACAAACAAGGAAAAAGGUUUAUAAGUUCUAUAUUGAUGCUCACAAUGUCUCUAUCCAGCACAGAAAGUCAUUUUACUUUUGAGAGCAUCAUCGAUUUAAUCUUUAUUUUCUCAAGUGGAUAACAAUUCAUCAUUGUCACCAACUACACAAUAGGAAAUGUGAAUAAAAAGACUGCAUUAAGAAUUAAGGGAGAAGUCCAGGGAAGUUUAACCCCCACUCUCAAAUGAGAGAUCCAUGUGCUUACUUUGCUUUUCAUGUAGCUUCAGAAUAAUGUAUUACCUGUUGUAGAUUUUUACUCGUUCUCACUGUCAUUCUACUGGAAAUUCCACAAGGAAAAUAUAUGCCUUCUUCUUUCAUAGUAGUGAGCGCUGAACCUGGACCAUCAAAGAGAAGAUAAUUUCUCAUCAAAUUGCCCAGCACUGUAAUGAGAAGAGAAGCAUCCAUAAAGUAAUAAACAAACCGAAUCUGAAUGUACCUCAUCAAAUGAAGGUGGCAGAAGUGUGGCGACCUAGCAUAGAUGUUUCACAGCCUCAAGGCUUGCAGAAUCAGAGAAGUCAGAAGCCUGCUAUGUAUAAUAUGUAGGCAUGUAUUCUUACUUCAUGAGUCUCUUAUCUACUUUCCAGUAGGCAAAUUUUUGUAAGCAGACUUAUCUUACUUGAGAAUCCUCGCUUCUUUCCAGAUUUCUUGAGAAAAGUUUAUGGUCAUUGGUCAUCAUAACAUCUACAUUUUAGCGCUGGGUAAUGAAAACAGAACAUGGUAAAUUUACCUGAAUAUGUCCCACAAAUAUUUGUACGAUGGAUGUUAGUUUAACUCGAACCAAUUGCACUAAUAAAAUAGAACACUUAGAAAGAAGGUAAAAUCAGCCUCACCAACAACGACUUUCACUAAGUAGAAGGACAUUCCCUUCCCCAGCAGCCCCACACCAAGACCUCGAAGCGAGCUU